AAAUGGGUUGGGAUAAAACGCGGAUACAGACGGACGGACGAAAACGCGGACGGACAGGCGGAUGGACGGAUGGACAAAAAGGGAUAAAAUGCGGAUGCGGACAAAAGGGAUAAAAUGCGGAUGCGGACAAAAGGGAUAAAAUGCAGAUGCGGACAAAAAGGAUAAAAUGCGGAUGCGGACAAAAAGGAUAAAAUGCAGGUGCGGACAAAAAGGAUAAAAUGCGGACUGUUUCAUUGCCCUAACAUAAUUCGUUAUUUCGGAGACACAAUUCAUAGACGUAGUACACUGUAAAUUCCAGCUGGAGUUUCAGCCGCUUGCCG